rnacentral:rRNA from 1 species
GACGAACGCUGGCGGCGUGCUUAACACAUGCAAGUCGAACGGAAAGACGCUGCGUUUGCGGCGUGCUCGAUAGGGGAGCGCGGGAGUAAAACAUGUGGAACACGCCCCUGACAUACUGAGAAAACCUCGGGACUAAGGCUAUAACACCAUAGAAUCUCUUGCGGCACGUGGUGGAAUGGUGAAUGUCGGCGGUUCGGGCUGGUCUCGAUGCAUCUCAGCUGGUUGGUGGGGUAGUGGCUGACCAAGGCUUUGAAGGGUAGCCGGCCUGAGAGGGUGACCGGCCACAUUGGGACUGAGAUACGGCCCAGACUCCUACGGGAGGCAGCAGUGGGGAAUAUUGCGCAAUGGGCGGAAGCCUGAGGCAGCGACGCCGCGUGCGGGAUGACGGCCUUCGGGUUGUAAACCGCUUUCGACUGUGACGAAGCGGGAGUGACGGUACCUGGUAAAGAAGCACCGGCUAACUACGUG